rnacentral:lncRNA from 1 species
UGUAAUGCACGACAAUUUGGACGGGGUUAUUCUGACAGUGUUAGAUGACUCAAAUGGGGCUAAAAGUAUCUGAGAAAUUUGUGUGAAAUCCUUUUGAAGUUUUUGGAGAGGAACAAGUACUCCUAGGUCAUGAAUAAUUUUAAAUGUUUAUCUUAGGGAGAUGUGAGUUAUUAUAGCUGAGAAAUGCCUUUUUCUGUAUAUAAGGUAUAUAUUGCUCUUGGACAUUUAGGCUGACAAUGCUGUAAAUAUAUAAUUUGAAUGGAUUGUUGAUCUUCCUCUGUGUACUGGGGGCCCAAACUCAGAGCAUUGUUAUUUCAGAUUUGAGUGCCAAGGGGAAUAAUCCCAUUCCUGCACUUGCUGGCUGUGAUUUUGAUAAUUCACCUUAUAGAGCUGACCCAUCCCAGGUACAGGACUCUGCACUUCUUGCUAAACCUGAUGAGGUUUCUGUCAGCCCACUCCUCCAGUUUGCCAUCAUGGAGGUGACCGAUGUUAAACACUUGAAGCAUUAGACACAGGAUCCAUCCCAAAACUGACUGACUGAAAAUGAACAUCACUUACACACUAACUGUCUGCAGUAGGGUUUUGAAUCACUGAUCACUGCUCUUUAGGCCAAAAGUGUUUUCCCAAAGGGGCAAAAUUCUUAAAAAACCAAGGAAUUGGUAUCACUGGCUUCCAUGAGUCUGGUAAUUCAAUGAAGGUUUCACUUUUUGUGUCCCAACCACAUGCCUAUUGGGGAACAUGGAUGAAUUUGUUCUCUUUGCACAAUUUAAAAGCUCAGCUUUGAAGUAUUUCUCUUGAAAGAGAAUAGUUACUUCUUUGUAGCUAUUGUUUUCAAAUAGUUCCUUUUUAAAUUCCUGCUUUUGAUUUGAGUUGGCUACUCCAGUAAGGAGACACUUUCAUGUCUUAAUUCCAGUUUGACUGUAUUGGAGCUCUGCUAGUUUAUGACAGCUGCUGCUCUUGUGAAGUGAUCCUGGAUUCUGGAUUUCAGGGCUAUGUCAGUGAUGCUCAAGACAGUGGGAAUUAUUUACACCCCUGACCAUUUUUAUGUCAAGCUCAGGGGAUGGCUGUACAAAAAUCUGCUGCAAAGUAGACAGGAUCAGAGCCUUCUCUUCAAGUCCCUUAGUAGUGUGCUCUGACCUUGCAUAAAUGCAAUGUACGUUUACCCCUGAGAAAACUGAGCUAAUCUGCUUUGUGUUUGGCAUCCCACAGAAAUAAACAUGGUAAGAAUAAAGAACA